GGAUGUGAGGGCAAUCUGGCUGUGACAUCUGUCACUCCAUUGAUUGCCAGGGUUGAUUCAGCUGAUCUGGCUGGCUAGGUGGGUGUCCCCAUCCUUCUCACUGCUCCGUGUGUGUCCCUCCCAAAGCGGUGUGCUCAGCGGAAGAGGACCACCUCCCCUGAAUGGAGGAGGAUUUGUCUUUGGUCAAGGCUAUAAGAGUAGCUGUGCUCCCCUGCUACAACCUCCAAACAAGCUGUCAAUAGAGAAAACUAGGCAGGAGAGCCCAAGCUAACAGUUCUGCUUCCCAGCCUGGCUGUAAAG
rnacentral:snRNA from 1 species